rnacentral:lncRNA from 1 species
AUAUGGAGAAUUAUAUUGAACCUGAGUCCAUAAUUGUAUCGGACGCAGCGCCUCAAUACUCGGGAUGAGAGGCACUGGGAUUUUCAAACUAUAAAACAAUAAAUCACAGAACACGUGGCCCUAGAAGGUAAGCACAAGAUACUACUGAUGAGGAGCAGCCCGAAGUAUAAGAGCCGUCAUCUGAGCGAGAUAGUCGGCCAAACGAUAUGAAUCAAAACGGGCAUUACAAAUGAUUAACAUUACUGGUUUAUUUGCAGAUUUGUAAACCCGGAGGGCCUCUAGACACACACACAACAUAUAGAGAGAUUUCUAACAGAUAUGUCAAGGUAAACCGCGUUUAAACGAAGACAUGGAUCGCGCAGAAAUGGUUUUGAGAUGAUAAUUUUUCUCUAUUUACAGGCCGCUAUCAAGUCUUUAUGAACGGAUAAGACUCUGCAGCAGUACAUGUGCAAAUACACAUAGAGGAACAGUUCUGGCCGUUCAUGAAAAAGCAAGAGAGAAAUUCCUGCGCUUUUGCAACGAUGUGGCUACGGUUUAUCCCCAUCCAGGUAGAGGUUUUCAAUUACUGGGAAUCGCUUCAGAUGCACCGUUUACCGGAUGACAUCGCUCCAGAUGGACUGUUUUUUAAACUACAUGUCGUGUCGCUCUCGGAGUCUUUUCUGAUAAUAGACGAGGUAAAAUGUGCAGCAUCGGUCAUGGAUAACCGAAAUCAUGCUUAUUGAUAAACCGUCGGAAAGAC